AACGAACGCUGGCGGCAUGCCUAACACAUGCAAGUCGAACGAAGUCUUCGGACUUAGUGGCGCACGGGUGCGUAACGCGUGGGAAUCUGCCCUUAGGUACGGAAUAACUCAGGGAAACUUGUGCUAAUACCGUAUGAUGUCUUCGGACCAAAGAUUCAUCGCCUAGGGAUGAGCCCGCGUUGGAUUAGCUAGUUGGUGAGGUAAAGGCUCACCAAGGCGACGAUCCAUAGCUGGUCUGAGAGGAUGAUCAGCCACACUGGGACUGAUACACGGCCCAGACUCCUACGGGAGGCAGCAGUGGGGAAUAUUGGACAAUGGGCGCAAGCCUGAUCCAGCAAUGCCGCGUGAGUGAUGAAGGCCUUAGGGUUGUAAAGCUCUUUUACCCGGGAAGAUAAUGACUGUACCGGGAGAAUAAGCCCCGGCUAACUCCGUGCCAGCAGCCGCGGUAA
rnacentral:rRNA from 1 species